GCCUCCGAUGAAACCUGUCUUGAUAGGAACAUCCGAAAGUGUUGAUGAAUGCCAAAGACUCUAAUGGA
ensembl:snoRNA